rnacentral:rRNA from 13 species
GGGUACGACCAUACUUGGCCAAAUGCACCACAUCCCGUCCGAUUUGUGAAGUUAAGCCGGUCACAGGCCUCGUUAGUACGGCGNNAWCAGUGAUNGGCGUUGGAACCCGGGGUGCCGUACCCU